GACGAACGCUGGCGGCGUGCCUAACACAUGCAAGUCGUGCGAGAAAGUUCCUUCGGGAGCGAGUAAAGCGGCGCACGGGUGAGUAACACGUAGGUAACCUGCCCCCCAGUCUGGAACAACUAGAGGAAACUCUAGCUAAUGCCGGAUGAGACCACGAUCCCUUCGGGGGUUGCGGCCAAAGAUGGCCUCUACUUGUAAGCUAUCGCUGAGGGAUGGGCCUGCGGGCCAUUAGCUUGUUGGUGAGGUAACGGCUCACCAAGGCUGUGAUGGCUAGCUGGUCUGAGAGGAUGACCAGCCACACUGGGACUGAGACACGGCCCAGACUCCUACGGGAGCAGCAGUGGGAAUAUUGCGCAAUGGGCGAAAGCCUGACGCAGCGACGCCGCGUGGGUGAUGAAGGCC
rnacentral:rRNA from 1 species